UUUAAUUAAGUUCCAUCCCUUUUCCUCUCCCAUGUCACUUUCAAUCUCUGCCAUCUUCACUUUUCCUCCAUUUUUUGGCCAAUUCUUGACUUUCAAAUCCCUGCGUGCUGGAGCAUAUCCCACCAUUUUCGGGUGUAACCUGAAGCAUAUCACUAAAGAAUCCCGAAGAUCGAAUCCAUCAAAACAAAAAAUUUCAACGUUAAAAUUCAAACGAUCCAUUUGAUUUCUUUUGAAAUUUGAACUUUCAAGUUCCCGCUCAAAGGAACCAAGAACCUUAAUUUUACACCUAUAAAUACCAGAAUUUAUGGCUAUUUUCAGCAGCCAUAACAGGGCCUUUAUUUUGUUUGUGUCGGAGUUCGAUGAUUAUCUGAAGUAGCCAAAUCCGAGGUCGAAAAUAGUAGAUUUAGUUGACACGCCCCAGUUCCUGCGCCACAAAAGUAUGAGUCUUAUUGCAUGACUCAACCCAUACCUGCACGGAGUCAUUACUAUUGAGCCUUAGACUAUGAUGGAUAUCUAUAAGAAGAACAAGCAAAGCUUGGGUCGCUUAUGGUGGCCUUUGUGAUUUACAUUUUACUCUAUUUCGAAUUUUCAAUUAAUUUGAUUAUAUUCUUUUGAUUAGUUUAGUUCUAUACUUAACUUGGGAUUGUUGAUUUACUUUGACCUCUUCACUUAGUAUUCUCACUUAGUUAUUGGCAGAUAUUAUCUAUUUUAUUUAA